AUUGGCUGGUGUUAAUGUUCACGCCCACCUGUCCAGGAAGUCAUUUUAAUCCAGAAAGUUCAUUUGCUGCAGGUGUGUCCUGAAAUAACAGGCAUGUAGAGAUGUCAAGACGACCUGCUGAAGCUCAAACCAAGCAACAGAAUGAGGAAGAAUGUAGAGUUGGGUCACUCUAAAUGAGUGCCUACAGUGUGCAGAGUUUUCAUCCCACAACCCAGAUGGCUCGAUGAACAUCAUGGAGGCCAACCUGCUCAGAAUGAGAAUCGUGCACAAAUAGAACCACAUUUCACCAGGAGAAAUAAUUUCAAUCCAGGAUGAGGAUUUGCAUGAGUGUGAGGGAGGAUUACCAGAACAUCACAUCUUCCCUUGUAAGUGGUACUCACUUACUUAAGCCAUCAUCCAGUCAUUAAAAAUGUAGAAUUCCCGUUUUUUUUUUAAAGUGGAACAUGAUUCUGCUUUGUGCUCAGGAGGCAGUGAAGCACGAUGCUCUGCAUAUGAAAUGCAUUUGGUCAUCCCCCUGGCAACAGGGCCGGGAAAAGGUUCACUGAGUAAAAUGAGAGCAGAUUGCUUUUAUUCUUUAUUUAGAGAGUUAUUCUAGACACUGAGUCACAGAUGCCCAGCCACUGUAAAAAUCAUUCCUGCUCAAUUGAUGCUGUCGGAAGAAAAAGUUGAAGGCUUCAGUGCCUGUGGGGAAAAGCGUAAUGGAUUUAUAUUUGUCUCCUGCUUGUUUUUCACACUUUAGGGCUCUUGACAUUAUAUUCCUCCUGAGACUGUCGGUAGCAUCAACACAAACGUGACAUAGUUAUACUCUCAUUGUAUGGUAUAAGUAAAACGUGGGUGAAUAAGGGAGCAAACAGAGGGAGAGUGUGUGUGU